rnacentral:lncRNA from 1 species
AUUUUCAGAAGAGCCAUUCCAUCAGCGCAGGUUUUACAAUCACAUAAAAAAUAUCAUUAUUUAUUGAAAAUCGCAUAAUUUAGAUUGAAUAUAAUAGUAAGAAUAUCUGAUUUCCUUUGCCAUCAACAAUUAUCCCCCUUGAAUAAACUAUAACAUUUAUUUUACCACACUGAACAUCAUUAUCUAGAAAUAAUGUCAGGAAAUUAACAGAUCAUAUACACUUCUUCUCUGUAGUCUUCUUCUUCUCAGCACAUGCAUGGCCGUUGAAAUAAUUACAAUGAAGCAGGCAAACGUGAUGUGCCUGUGAUGUGAUUUUCUUGAAGUAGAUAUGAGCAGAUACAAAGGAUGCGAUCUGUCCAAGCUUCAGACUCCGAAUUCCAACUUGACUGCGUGAUAUCUGUUGAAAUCAUGAUAUCAUCAGAAUCAUGAAAUCUAGAACACGGUGGUCGCGGAUGAGCGUGUGGUCGGCAAUCUUAAUAGAGACGGCGCGUGAAGAAAAAAUGCAUAAAUUGGGAAAGAGAGGUAGCGAGGGGAAAGGAUUUGUAGAAGGAGAGACAAAGGAAACUAGUUGUUCUAACUUGUACGGUGCUAUUUAUAAAACAAUCUAGUCGUUUUCAAAAAUCGGUGUUCAUAGAAUGACAGAAAUGCCCCGGUAUUUAGUGUUAAUUACAUGCAACACCAUCCCUAUAUUAUAUUGUUAUGAUUAAUUGGAUCCUCGGAUUCUUAAUUUUAUGCAUCGAGUCCUUUUACCAUCUACCGUGUUCAUAAUUUAAACCUUUUGUCCAAGAACUCAGCAGUAAGGACUACUAGACCAACUUAACUUAAUUGAUUUGAUCUUCGAUUUCUAAAAUCAAAAUCCAAUAAAAAUACAAUAUUAAGCUUACCAUAUCAUUAGCUAUUAAAUGUUUUAAUUAUCUCCAAUAUCCCAAACUUAUAAAACUAUACAAUUUAUUAAAUGUUUCAAUUGUCUCCAAUUCCCAAACUUACAAAACUAUACUAU